GAUGAACGCUGGCGGCGUGCCUAAUACAUGCAAGUCGAGCGAACGGACGAGAAGCUUGCUUCUCUGAUGUUAGCGGCGGACGGGUGAGUAACACGUGGAUAACCUACCUAUAAGACUGGGAUAACUUCGCGAAACCGGAGCUAAUACCGGAUAAUAUUUUGAACCGCAUGGUUCAAAAGUGAAAGACGGUCUUGCUGUCACUUAUAGAUGGAUCCGCGCUGCAUUAGCUAGUUGGUAAGGUAACGGCUUACCAAGGCAACGAUGCAUAGCCGACCUGAGAGGGUGAUCGGCCACACUGGAACUGAGACACGGUCCAGACUCCUACGGGAGGCAGCAGUAGGGAAUCUUCCGCAAUGGGCGAAAGCCUGACGGAGCAACGCCGCGUGAGUGAUGAAGGUCUUCGGAUCGUAAAACUCUGUUAUUAGGGAAGAACAUAUGUGUAAGUAACUGUGCACAUCUUGACGGUACCUAAUCAGAAAGCCACGGCUAACUACGUG
rnacentral:rRNA from 1 species